GUUGCUUUGGCAGAAUAGUGCCCUAGAUUUAGGAUCUAAAUAAGAGUUUUAGGACUCAAGUAAUA
rnacentral:tRNA from 1 species